UUUCUCUCGCCCUAAGUUCUGAUUCAGUUCAGUUUACCUGUGAAAAAAAAUCUGGAAACGUUACGUAGUUACUCAGAAUCGAAGCCUCACCUUCAACGACCUUAUUAACAAUUCUUCUCCACUCCUCACACUAUCUAUCACUAAAUGCAUCCUCCUUUACUUCAUUUCUCAGAAUCUUUGACUAUAAAAAGAUUGACAGAGGAUACCCGCGCGAUUUCAUGGAAGUUGGGAGAGUUGUAGUUCAGUUGAAAAGGGAGGAUGAGACUUUACUCAAUCCUGCCAUUAAUUCAAGUAACAUCACCUCACGUAGGUGAACCGAGCUUCUGGUUAUGUGUAUACCUGUCUAAAAGUUAGAAGUCCGUCUUCAUUCACCCAGAAAAUACUAACAUGGAUGGGACUUUCUUUCUGUUCUUUAGACUGGUUGUGAGGGACCUAAAACCAAUCCCAAGUUAUUAAUUGUUCUUCAAAUGACUUUGCUUACGUUAAUCAUCCUAUCCUUAUCCCCAUGAAAAGAGUGAGUAUUUGAUAUCCAAAUCAUAUUCUCAUGCCUAUGAAAGACUGAACAUUUGAUAUCAAUUUGACUUUCCAGCUUUACAUGCGGCGAGGUGUUUAAAUACAUGAUAUGUUCACUGUCUUGAAAUAUUUUUGGGAAGCAAUUGCUGCAGAUAAUUGCAGAGUUGGUACCGAGACAUCCUAGAAAGUGAAGAAGCAGGAAUCUCAGAAAGUGAAGUGUCAGAAACCUCAUGCCACAAAUUCAACCGCUGGAACUUCUUCAAAGUCAGGCUAAGGUGGCAAGAAGAAGUGAUAAGCAAGUCCUCUCUAUCUCUUUUAUUAAUUUUCUUGGACAUCGCAUCAGCUUCUACGGUUUGUUAAUGUCCAAAACUUGCUGAAACCCAAGUUGUGUUUGCUGAUGUAAAAAAAUUUGUUGGUUUCAUCACGAAU